CUGCUUUUAUCCUCCCCUAUUUGUUCUCUUUAUCUGUGAUGUGCACAGCUGCCAAGCAGAGACUGGACAUACAAACUGUGAAGUCUUUCCAAUGCUAUUCUGUUGUCUGCGGUGAGAUCUGCAGGAGUCUAUAUUGCCAGUCAGUACAGCACCACACUCAAGUUUCUGGCUGAAUGUUAUGCUCAAGUUCCUGGAGUGAGAUUUGAAUCCACAGCCCUCUGAUUCAUAGCCCAGAGUGCAACGACCGAGUAACUGCCACUUCAUGAACACACACACAACCUUGCUGGCUUUCUCUAAUGAGGCACUUAGGCAUGCAAGACAGAUUAUGUAUUAUGUUGCCCCCACCACCCCUCCUCCAAAAAAGGAUAUGACUGGAGGUCCUGCCUUGUGUGAGGAUUUCCUGUUGUUCUUCUGGAGAGACCUUGACCACUGACAAGAUGGCCAGCUCGCAAGUUAAACCGGGAACAGCUGCAAGACAAUUCUCACACGUCAAAUGAAUGCAAUGCUUCCUUGGAACAGGAAAUCUGUUUCUGUGUAGUUUAAAUAAAUCCUUUGUGCUCUUGAUA